CUUCCAGCUUUACUGACGACUAGCGGAGAAGCUGCAUUUUGAGCAGAUUUCGGAGGACUUAACGGUACACGAGACACAAAGUUACGUCAGUCAGCCCCCCUUUCUCCCCCUUCCCUCUCUUUGGGUCAUUAGCAUGUUGCUGAUGGGGGCCGGUCAUCCAUUGAGCGUUGCAGGGAGGUUUGGCCGGGGCUGCAGCAGGCCUGUCAGGGCAGGUCAUUAAGAAAACGACGGGUCGGGGAAUACACAGACAAGGUUGAUUGGUUUCCUGCAGCCGUCAGCAGAGCCCUGCAGCAUCUUCUGACCCUCGUGAGUGUAUAUUCACGGCCAGUUCCUGCAGGCCUUCCCCGUCAAACCAGGCAUGCGUGUUGGCUCGCCCACACCUAUCUGCGGCAUUGUCCAUUCAAUAUGAUUAUCGCUGACCCACACCGCCUCCUGUCUCCGGGGCUCACAUGAACCAGUGCUUCCUCCAAGGAAGGAAAUGUUCGUUACCCACAGGCAAGUGUCACACGACUA